UGGUCACUCAGGACAUGAACUCACAUUUCCCAUACUGCUGACUCAGAGUGGGGACACUACUAACUUACCAAAGUGUGUCCCCAAUAUAGACAAACAAUCACCCACAAAAAAAACACUUAAGACAAACAAAGGUGACCGGGAGAAAGAGAAGUUUGGGUUAUACUUAUAAAUCUACAAACCGUGCUACUCAGAACACCUAUAGACUUAAUAAACCGGAGACUCUUAUGGUCUCAAAAACCUGUAUCUACCUGAGAUACCCUGUAUCUAUCUUAGAUACUAACCUGGGUUACCAAAACCCUAUAAUAAACCGGAGACCUCUUAUGGUCUCAAAAACCUGUAUCUAUCUUAGAUACUAACCUGGGUUACCAAGAACCCCUAUAUAUAUUUAGACCAAAUGUCUAAUAAACCGGAGACCUCUUAUAGUCUCAAUAUAACUAGAGUCCUUACACCUUUCCUAUCUACUGGAUACAGUCUUACUGAACCAAAGGGGGGUCAUAGACAAUCAGCGUCAAAUAAGACACAAAAAGGCUACUCACCGCAAAUGGUUUUGCUGAUCCAACUUCUAUCCCACUUCUAGACACCAAGCUGAAAGGGUUAAUGUUGUAAUGGACUCUAAUCCCCUCGGUUCUCGAUCCCUCGGUCACCAUAAUCAACGUUGAUGGAGAAUCAUUUGUAAGCAAUAACACACGGACAACAGCUUUACAAGACUCUCAAAU